rnacentral:rRNA from 1 species
AGAGUUUGAUCCUGGCUCAGGAUGAACGCUGGCGGCGUGCUUAACACAUGCAAGUCGAACGGGAAAUACUUUAUUGAAACUUCGGUCGAUUUAAUUUAUUUCUAGUGGCGGACGGGUGAGUAACGCGUGGGUAACCUGCCUUAUACCGGGGGAUAACAGCCAGAAAUGGCUGCUAAUACCGCAUAAGCGCACAGAACCGCAUGGUUCGGUGUGAAAAACUCCGGUGGUAUAAGAUGGACCCGCGUUGGAUUAGCUAGUUGGCAGGGCAGUGGCCUACCAAGGCGACGAUCCAUAGCCGGCCUGAGAGGGUGAACGGCCACAUUGGGACUGAGACACGGCCCAGACUCCUACGGGAGGCAGCAGUGGGGAAUAUUGCACAAUGGGGGAAACCCUGAUGCAGCGACGCCGCGUGGAGGAAGAAGGUCUUCGGAUUGUAAACUCCUGUUGUUGAGGAAGAUAAUGACGGUACUCAACAAGGAAGUGACGGCUAACUACGUGCCAGCAGCCGCGGUAAAACGUAGGUCACAAGCGUUGUCCGGAAUUACUGGGUGUAAAGGGAGCGCAGGCGGGAAGACAAGUUGGAAGUGAAAUCCAUGGGCUCAACCCAUGAACUGCUUUCAAAACUGUUUUUCUUGAGUAGUGCAGAGGUAGGCGGAAUUCCCGGUGUAGCGGUGGAAUGCGUAGAUAUCGGGAGGAACACCAGUGGCGAAGGCGGCCUACUGGGCACCAACUGACGCUGAGGCUCGAAAGUGUGGGUAGCAAACAGGAUUAGAUACCCUGGUAGUCCACACUGUAAACGAU